rnacentral:rRNA from 1 species
UACGUAGGGACCAAGCGUUGUUCGGAUUUACUGGGCGUAAAGAGCGCGUAGGCGGCAAUUCAAGUCAUCUGUGAAAUCUCCGGGCUUAACUCGGAACGGUCAGAUGAUACUGCUUUGCUAGAGUGCGGAAGGGGCAAUCGGAAUUCUCGGUGUAGCGGUGAAAUGCGUAGAUAUCGAGAGGAACACCUGAGGUGAAGACGGGUUGCUGGGCCGACACUGACGCUGAGUGCGCGAAAGCCAGGGGAGCAAACGGG